AACAUCGCGCACCUGCGGGAACCUGCGGAAGGAUCAUUACACAAUAAAAUAUGAAGGCUGUACGCGGCUGUGCUCUCGGGCCAGUUUUGCGGAGGCUGAAUUAUUUAUUACCCUUGUCUUUUGCGCACUUGUUGUUUCCUGGGCGGGUUCGCCCGCCACCAGGACCACAUCAUAAACCUUUUUUAUGCAGUUGCAAUCAGCGUCAGUAUAACAAAUGUAAAUCAUUUACAACUUUCAACA
rnacentral:misc_RNA from 1 species